GGUUGCAGCAUGCAGGUCAGCCUGUGUGGGACUGCGAAUUGACUAUCUAUCAUUAACCGUGAUCAAAACCAUUAUAAUAAUUACAGGAGUUACCCAGGUAAGAAAACAUUUUGUUUGGCUAAUGAGAAGGUCUCUGUGCUCUAAGCAUGUUUCCUGUGCAUCCCUUGGCUAAGAAAGCAUAUAAAAGUGCUCAGGACUGCAGGCUGUUCUAAUCACUUCUCCUGACUUUAUCCCCUUGGUGCACUGGGUUUACGACAAUCACCAAAGAUGAAAGAUCUGUGUUACCCAUCCCGCCCAUAUUGUCCUGACAUUUGCCCAGAUCCAUGUGCUUAUGUCUGCAAUGAGCCUUGUAUUACAUCAUGUGGCGACUCGAGCGCAGUGAUCUUUGCACCCCCGGUUGUUGUGAGAUUCCCGGGACCAACUCUUGCUACUUGCCCUCAAGACAGCUUCGUGGGAACCACCAUACCAAAUUUACCCUAUAGAUAUGGGGGUGGUUUUGGGGGUGGUGUUGGAGUUGGUGGUGGUGUUGGGGGUGGUUAUGGUGGUGGUGUUGGGGGUGGUUAUGGUGGUGGAUACAGUGGUGGAUACAGUGGUGGAUUCGGGGGUGGAUUCGGAUUCGGCGGUGGAUGCGGGGGCUCAUAUGGGAAAUGGGGGGGAUAUGGUAGGAAGUGCUAUGCUAACCGCAGGGAAUGUUGUCCUUUUUAAACCCAGAAGAAAGAUCUACAGUACAAGAAACAAGCAUGAAAUGAAAUAAAAGACAAUAGAGAGAUUCCCCACACAGCCAAUGGAAAAUGAGCAUCUGUAACUCCACUCGAAAUCUGGGGGAGUUAUGGGUAUUCGUCACCUGCAUAAAUUAGGCCUAUCUAUGCCUUCCUUUUGUUACAUAUUCCUUGAGCUUUACGGUCUGUCUAGUUUUGCAACUUAAUCUUAUGCUCCUGUUGUGCUUUGUCCUUUCCAAUCCUGAGCAGUCUACAAGUUACUAAAAUUGCUGGAAAAUGCGACAUGAUUUUCCAGCUCUGCA